GCAUAUCAAUAAGCGGAGGAAAAGAAACCAACAGGGAUUGCCUCAGUAACGGCGAGUGAAGCGGCAACAGCUCAAAUUUGAAAUCUGGCCUCUUGGGGUCCGAGUUGUAAUUUGUAGAGGAUGUUUCGGGUACCGCUCCGGUUUAAAUUUCUUGGAACAGAAUGUCAAAGAGGGUGAGAAUCCCGUCUUGGACCGGCGGUAGGGCCUAUGUGAAACUCCUUCGACGAGUCGAGUUGUUUGGGAAUGCAGCUCAAAAUGGGUGGUAAAUUUCAUCUAAAGCUAAAUAUUGGCCAGAGACCGAUAGCGCACAAGUAGAGUGAUCGAAAGAUGAAAAGCACUUUGAAAAGAGAGUUAAACAGUAUGUGAAAUUGUUGAAAGGGAAGCGCUGGCAACCAGACUUGCGCGCGGCGGUUCCCCCUCCCUUUUGGUUGGGUUAUUCCGCCGUGUCCAGGCCAACAUCGGUUCUGGGGGUCGGUUAAAGGCCUUGGGAAUGUAUCUACCCUCCGGGCGUAGACUUAUAGCCCAGGGCGUCAUGCGACCACCCGGGACCGAGGAACGCGCUUCGGCUCGGAUGUUGGCGUAAUGGUUGUCAGCGACCCGUCUUGAAACACGGACC
rnacentral:rRNA from 1 species